rnacentral:piRNA from 1 species
UUAAUACUUUUGGUGCUUUCG